AACGAACGCUGGCGGCAGGCUUAACACAUGCAAGUCGAGCGCCUCGCAAGAGGAGCGGCAGACGGGUGAGUAACGCGUGGGAACGUACCCUUAUCUUCGGAAUAGCUCUGGGAAACUGGAAGUAAUACCGAAUGUGCCCUUAGGGGGAAAGAUUUAUCGGAUAAGGAUCGGCCCGCGUUGGAUUAGCUAGUUGGUGGGGUAAAGGCCUACCAAGGCGACGAUCCAUAGCUGGUCUGAGAGGAUGAUCAGCCACAUUGGGACUGAGACACGGCCCAAACUCCUACGGGAGGCAGCAGUGGGGAAUAUUGGACGAUGGGCGCAAGCCUGAUACAGCCAUGCCGGGUGAGUGAUGAAGGCCUUAGGGUUGUAAAGCUCUUUCACCGGAGAAGAUAAUGACGGUAUCCGGAGAAGAAGCCCCGGCUAACUUCGUG
rnacentral:rRNA from 1 species